ACCGCAUGGUUCUUGGCUGAAAGAUGGCGUAAGCUAUCGCUUUUGGAUGGACCCGCGGCGUAUUAGCUAGUUGGUGAGGUAAUGGCUCACCAAGGCGAUGAUACGUAGCCGAACUGAGAGGUUGAUCGGCCACAUUGGGACUGAGACACGGCCCAAACUCCUACGGGAGGCAGCAGUAGGGAAUCUUCCACAAUGGACGCAAGUCUGAUGGAGCAACGCCGCGUGAGUGAAGAAGGCUUUCGGGUCGUAAAACUCUGUUGUUGGAGAAGAAUGGUCGGCAGAGUAACUGUUGUCGGCGUGACGGUAUCCAACCAGAAAAGCCACGGCUAACUACGUGCCAGCAGCCGCGGUAAUACGUAGGUGGCAAGCGUUAUCCGGAUUUAUUGGGCGUAAAGCGAGCGCAGGGCGGUUUUUUAAGUCUGAUGUGAAAGCCCUCGGCUUAACCCGAGGAAGCGCAUCGGAAACUGGGAAACUUGAGUGCAGAAGAGGACAGUGGAACUCCAUGUGUAGCGGUGAAAUGCGUAGAUAUAUGGAAGAACACCAGUGGGCGAAGGCGGCUGUCUGGUCUGUAACUGACGCUGAGGCUCGAAAGCAUGGGUAGCGAACAAGGAUUAGAUACCCUGGUAGUCCAUGCCGUAAACGAUGAAUGCUAGGUGUUGGAGGGUUUCCGCCCUUCAGUGCCGCAGCUAACGCAUUAAGCAUUCCGCCUGGGGAGUACGACCGCAAGGUUGAAACUCAAAGGAAUUGACGGGGGCCCGCACAAGCGGUGGAGCAUGUGGUUUAAUUCGAAGCAACGCGAAGAACCUUACCAGGUCUUGACAUCUUUUGAUCACCUGAGAGAUCAGGUUUCCCCUUCGGGGGCAAAAUGACAGGUGGUGCAUGGUUGUCGUCAGCUCGUGUCGUGAGAUGUUGGGUUAAGUCCCGCAACGAGCGCAACCCUUAUGACUAGUUGCCAGCAUUUAGUUGGGCACUCUAGUAAGACUGCCGGUGACAAACCGGAGGAAGGUGGGGAUGACGUCAAAUCAUCAUGCCCCUUAUGACCUGGGCUACACACGUGCUACAAUGGAUGGUACAACGAGUUGCGAGACCGCGAGGUCAAGCUAAUCUCUUAAAGCCAUUCUCAGUUCGGACUGUAGGCUGCAACUCGCCUACACGAAGUCGGAAUCGCUAGUAAUCGCGGAUCAGCUUCGUUUUCGGAAUGAGAAAU
rnacentral:rRNA from 2 species